UACGUAGGUGGCGAGCGUUUGUCCGGAAUUGACUGGGCGUAAAGAGCUCGUAGGUGGUUUGUCGCGUUGCGUCGUCGAAAACUCACAGCUUACGUGUGGGCGUGCGGGCGAUACAGGCAGACGUAGAGUAUGCAGGGGAGACUGGAAUUCCUGGUGUAGCGGUGGAAUGCGCAGAUAUCAGGAGGAACACCGGUGGCGAAGGCGG
rnacentral:rRNA from 1 species